ensembl:ncRNA F56A12.8 ncRNA
ACUAAAAACGAAUACUCUCGUUCUCUCAAUCGUUCAGUCAUUCGUCCCAACUUUCCAUCUCUGUCGUCUCUUCAUCCAUGCCUCUGGCGCGGUUGUCUCGCGUCUCCCGCGCGUCAGGGAUGCACUUUUAUAAAAGUACACGGCAC